CCCUUAGAUGUCCGGGGCCGCACGCGCGCUACACUGAAGGAAUCAGCGUGGCUUUCUCCCUGACCCGAAAGGGUUGGGAAACCCGUUGAAUCUCCUUCGUGAUAGGGAUUGGGGCUUGAAAUUGUUCCCCAUGAACGAGGAAUUCCCAGUAAGCGCGAGUCAUAAGCUCGCGUUGAUUACGUCCCUGCCCUUUGUACACACCGCCCGUCGCUACUACCGAUUGUACGGUUUAGUGAGGGCCUCGGAUUGGUCUCGGCCCGCUCUUUACCGGGCGGCGCCGUUGGUCGAGAAGACGCUCGAACUUGAUCGUUUAGAGGAAGUAAAAGUCGUAACA
rnacentral:rRNA from 1 species